ACCACUGAAAGAACGAUUAAGGGACAUUUUUUCCCAAAAAAAAACCUAGUACCAGCCUUGAGAGACUUAAGUAUAAAAUUAUUUUUAAGCCCAACAUAUGGGAGAAUGUGAAUCUAUUUUUAUAGAAAUUUCAUCAGUUCCCUCAAAAAUUCUCUUCGGUGUUGUUAAUCUACCUGAUGGAAACAUAAAUUUAUUCGCUGAAUUAUUUGCAAAUUAUGCUAAUGUUGUUGUUGUAGGAGACUUAAACUUUAAUCUCUUUGGUGCAAAUACUGCUGCAAUGGCUAGAAACAUUGCAAUUCGUUUGGGUCUUAGCAUUGUUCAUAACACUUGUACUUUUUUUUUGAUAUUGUCCAACGUACAAUAUCUUUAAUUGAUUAUUGAAUGAUGAGUAAUCUAUCUUGAUUGCAGGUCUCUUUUUCAAGUCCAAUGUCCUUCGAUCGCACAUCUUUCGCUGAUAUAAGCCUCUGUUGGAUUGCCUGUCGAACACUGUGAGGAAUAUGUUGAAGAUCGUGAUUAUAGUAGAUUCAAAGGAACCGUGGAUGUCCUCUGACGCCCUUUUAUAUGUAAGGUCUCUGAGAGAUCUAGCUUAUAAAGUGUAUUUACAUAGAAGAACUGAUGUGAUUUGGAGAAUCUAUUGUACUUGUUCAUGGAACAGGCUUUUGUUGAUUCUCUAAAAAUGUAACCUAAAAUAAAUCUAUGAGCGUCAA